rnacentral:rRNA from 1 species
GACGGAGGAUGCAAGUGUUAUCCGGAAUCACUGGGCGUAAAGCGUCUGUAGGUGGUUUAAAAAGUCCACUGUUAAAAAUUGAAGCUUAACUUCAAAGAUGCCGUGGAAACUUUUAAACUUGAGUAUGGUAGGGGUAGAGGGAAUUUCCAGUGGAGCGGUGAAAUGCGUAGAUAUUGGAAAGACCACCAAUGGCGAAGGCACUCUACUGGGCCAUUACUGACACUGAGAGACGAAAGCUAGGGGAGCAAAUGGGG